CGACUGAAACAGGGCAGGGGAGUAGUGAAAUAGAUGAACUCAAAGCAGAAAUCAAGAAGCUUCGUGAAGAAAAACAGCAGCUGACUCAGACUGUUACGGCUCUGGAAACUGAGUUAGAACUAUCACACAGAUUGUUGCAAGAAAUAACAGUAAGUACCAAAAUUAAUUUCUAAUGGCGUUUUAAUGAUAAACUUCCAACUUCUGUGUCUGGAAUUUCAGCAGGCAUCAUAUCAUAACCUGAACAAAUUUUUAGUUGUAGAUCUGUGAUUGAAAAUUUUGUCCAUUUAGACUUAGUCCUAAGCCUUUUGUCCGAAACGGCCAGCUAGUACUAUGCUGCCUGAGGCCUCUUCAGGGUGUUAGCGUCUUGCCAAGUAGGAAAUAGAAGUGGAGGUAAUAAAUGUCAAUUAUUCUCAUUAAUUUUUUAAAAAAUCUAAUUAAUUUUUUUUUAGGAAAUGCAAGGCAGUUUGAAGAAUUGCAGGCUGAAGUUGUGCGAUUGCAAAAUGAAAAUGGGCGUCUCAAUAGAGAAAAACUUGAGUUGGAGCAAAUCGUUGCUGCCAGCCAAGAUGAAAACUCAAAUCUAUCCACUGGCAUCGAACUGGAUUUGCAGCAUCAAAGGGAUCUUGAGCAACUAAUAGCAGCUAAAGAUUCCACUCAAAGGAAGUACAACCAGCUGAAAGAAGACUUUGAUAUAAUGAAGUCGCAGUUUGAAGAAUUUCGACAGAUCCGAGUGAAAACAACUUCAACUGCAUCUCAAUCCUCCUACGACUGUGCCUCCGUUUUAUCUCAGACCUGUGAUGAGAUUUUGUCUGCUGUUGCAUCAACAAGUUCUCAAACGAUGAGUGACAAUCCAUCCUCCAGUUCUCAGACUGUCAAUGAGUCCUCAUCGAUGUCCUCGCAAACCACUAUCCAGAGUGUUGGUGCCUCAUCUCAAACAGUCAACGACAAUCCUUCUGCUUCAUCCCAAACAAAUGGUGUUUCUAGUUCCUAUGCUGCCUCACAAACAACAUUUGCUGAGGUGUCUAAUGUUGAUGUUACUAGGAGGCACACUGAUUCAGAAUCUAGUGAAGAGGAGUGCAGUUUCCGCGAUCUGAAAAUGUUUUGGACUCAGUUCCAUUUAAGAUUCCUGAGCAAUUUGUCAACAAAACUCCAGAUGAUGGAUCAAAAAUAAUUCAGGAUAUUAAAGCUCUGACUUCCAUGUGUCUCAAUCUGCAAGAAAAUGAGAAAAAAUUAGCUGCUGAAUUGAUGGAGAAAUCAGAAGAAGUGUUUUAUUGAGAGCAAAAGUGGAAGAGGCUACAAAAAAGAUGACUUUGGUUGAAGAAGAACUGGCUGACUUCGAGCAGAAAGAAACUGAUUGGCAAGAGACGGAACAAAAACAGAAAGUG
rnacentral:lncRNA from 1 species